UACCAGCACCCCGAGUGGUCGGGACGAUUAUUGGGCCUAAAGCAUCCGUAGCCGGUCAUGCAAGUCCUCCGUUAAAUCCACCUGCUUAACAGAUGGGCUGCGGAGGAUACUACAAGGCUAGGAGGCGGAAGAGGCAAGCGGUACUUAGUGGGUAGGGGUAAAAUCCUCUGAUCCAUUGAAGACCACCAGUGGCGAAGGCGGCUUGCCAAUACGCGCUCGACGGUGAGGGAUGAAAGCUGGGGGGGCAAACCGG
rnacentral:rRNA from 1 species